AGUCCGGUGCUGGGAAAGGCGAUUCAUGGAGGUCUUGGACUCUUGGGAUAUUCUUCUCGCAUCACUCCCUUUCUCUCUUCUCUUCCUCCUUCGCUCUAUUUCACAUUAUCUUAUCCUCGAUUCAAGAAGUCUCCCAGCUCCGACUCUCCGGAUCUUCGUCACGGCUACAUCGGGGGGAAUCGGUCGGUAAAGAAGGGUCUUGGGAUAAUUCUCUCUUAUCCUCCUCCUUCGUUCCUAUUCCAGAUUAUCGUAUCCUGGAUACAAGAAGUCUCCCAACCCUCAGUCUGCGGGUUUUUCUUGCUUCUUUUCUUCAUUUUUUUUGCUGUUAGUUUUACAAGAAGAGGCUGUGAUGAUUCCUGAACGAGGGUUUGCUGCAUUGGGAAGCGGAAAACGGCUAUGUCUAACGGCAAAGCGGAAUCUUGGAUGCUCUGCUGUUCGGUUUGCUGCCUUCUUGCUUUAUCUGGGGGACGUCUUGAGGCUAAGAACGCGAAUAAAUGGUGAAUUCGAGCCAAUUUUUCCUCUUCCUUUUCUUCUCUUUUCUAAGUCGGCGUUUUUUUUCAAGAUUUUGUUUUUAAGGUUUCGUGAAUUUCUUUUGCUGCUGUUUAUCUCAUCUGAUGAGUUGUUCUUGUGGUUCCUCAAGAAUUCAUAGGAUAUGGAGGUCAAUGGAGGAUAUAAGGAGUUGAAGGAGUCCUUAGAAAUUUUUCUGAAGCUGGUAUUGAAGAAGCCCAUCCGCUUCAACUUCCCCUUGAUGAUGCAAUAGAAUCCCUCAAAUGAUUUAUGCUGCUGCUUUAUGUGCUUUUAUUUUUCUCAAUCUUCCUACUCAUCUCUGCAAACUUAAUGGUAGUUUGCUCUGCUUAUGUGCUUUUAUGCUUCAGACACCAGGAUCACACUCCCUGCUGCUCUCAAGUGGUGUUUCAAGUGCUACUGCAUUAAUUUCUGUGCUGCCUGUUCAGAUUUGAGGGUAAUGUUGGUGCUACUUUAACGGGCAUAGCAGGGCUUAGGGUAGUUGCUAUGGUUCUUGCUGUCUUUUCAGUCAGGUAAGUAAGAACUUGCUCAUGUACAUCAUUACAUCAUUCUAUAUUGUUAGCAACAAAAGAUUUUUUAUUAUUAAAGCUUGCAGAUACUUUACUGAUAUAGCAAGCCCUGAUGCUGCAAGUUAUAAAGGGAUAGAGAAGUGUAGAGUGUGCAGUGAAUGGAGCCAUUAAGAUCUUGACAGUUGCAGUAUUAUUCAUACUUCAGAUAUUGGCAUAUUUUCUUUUCUUAAAUAAAAUAAGGUCUUUCAACGCCCCAAAAAAACAUAACUUUGUGACUGUUGUGGUUAUUGUGGUACCAAAACUGCUUACGUUGGCUGUCACCUUCACCUUGAUAUAAGUACACAUGAUUUCUCUGGUACAUAUCUUUCUUGAACUUAAAUACAGAUGUUUCCUGGCAUAUAUGCUUGGAUGGUGUUCAAAUGAUUGCAUUACAGGUGCUUAGGCUUUCAGCAUGUGAAACUAUGGGGUCAGCUGCAACUAUUUGCAGUUAUAAAAGGAGCUUUGACCCUUAAUUAGGCAUACAUUGGUGGGAGGAAGAUAGAUCCUCUAGAAGAUGUGGAAUUGAGAUCUUCAACUGCAUUCUAUUUUUCAGUCGAAGGAAUUGCUCAGAAUACAACUGUCGGUAUAUUUGAGCCAGAGAGUGGCUGAACUAUUGAGGAUACUAGUUCACCUACUGAAAAGGCUAUCCUUUAUUGGGCAGUUCAGGUUGAUAUCUUCAAUUCUUCAAGUCUUCCCCCUUUAAUUCUGAGAAAAAGCAUGGUGGUGCUGCAGUACACGUGGGAGAUUCUGAAGUUCACUUGCAUUGGAGAGGUGCUGCUGAAAUUGUUCCUGCUGCAUGCAGAGCUGGCCUGAACCAGAUGGUUUGGCUCAGCCAAUGACUUCAGACAAGGUAUUCUUGGUCAGUCGAAAUAAUCUUCAGAAAGCGAAGCUAUAGCUUUGGUGUUCUGGAUACUUACAGAUGCCGAUGCCUCAGAGCCAACUGUUAUAUAGGGAAAAGUAUUUCGAGCCAUGACUGAUUCAGGAAGAGGGAGAAUUGCUGAGAAAAUAUUUGAUUGCUGGUGCACCCCAUUCACUGCACUCUCAAAACUCAAAAGCAAAAUGAGCGGAAAAAGUUAUAGGAAGAAGAGUGGAUUACAAGCUUGAAGUUGUCCAACAAUUGCAAGGGGAUCUCCCAGUGGGACGCCUGAACCAUAUCCAUGUCUACCAAGAUGAGGUGCAUCAUGGCUGCUGCACAAAUUUCUAUACUUGUUUGGAGUUGAUAAGAAAGUUUUCCACUUCGGCCAUCCCUGAAAUAUUCCUUUUCUUCUUGAACAUAUUAGCUUUCUCGUCUCAGUUUUUUCAGUUGCAGAGAGUUAAAAACAUGCAAUGCUGGAUGAAAUGGUGAAUAUGAGCCUCCUCUUCCUUCCCGUCCCAUUUUAACUUCUCUAAUUAUGAAGACAACUUGAAAGAUCUCCAUGCUAUUUGCAAACACCAGCUGUAUCCAGAGGGCCCAUGCAGACCAACUGCUGUAUAAACUGGUUUCCCAUGCAUCUCUUGCCUCAUGUGCAUUAGGAAUUUUGCGAUCCUGCAUAGAAAACUUCGUGGGCUGCAUGCUAAAAGAGGCCAUGAUUGAUUUGCUGGCUCAUGUUUUUAUGCUUUGACACCCCAAUGGCAAACUGUAUCCCCUGCUUCUACAAAGUGGAGGUGUAUUAAGGGCUACAAUAUAAAUGACCUGCUUCAAUUUGAUAAGUUACUCUUUCCCUUCCGCUGUUGGUGAAGUAUUCCUUCUUGAACAUAUUAGUAUUUGUUUUCAGCAGGAAGUUAUCCAUGACAGUAAAUUAUUUGCCACGUAUUCUUCAUGGCUAUUUUGAACAACCAGCAGCCAGUCCGAUUCUUUUAAAAUUUAAAUUUUAUGCUUAUGUAAUAUUAUUUGCUACUUGAAUGGAAAGGGAAGUAGGAAAUAAAAUAGAAAAUCAUCAGUCAUACUUUGGAUGGUCUAUUCUUCUGCAAGCAAUCAUUGCAGCCUGCUAAAAAACUGCAAAAAUCUGGAUGACUCCUCCUCCCAGACAGUACAACUUUUCUUUUUCAGCCUUGAUAUUCUUUUCCUUAUUUUCUGAUAUAAUUAUACAUUAUUUCGAUGGCUUUGGCUUAUGAGGUUAUUUCUGAUAUCAGCAGUAGUUUUUUCUUUUCUUUUGACCUAUUUCAGUCAGUGAGAGUGCCACCAACUCCAGCACUCAGCAAUACAGUAGUAUCACCCUACAGAUGUGCCCAGGUAUGUCAUCUCAGAACCAAGUUUGCCUGCUCUUAGGAUUUAUUUUCUUCCUGACAAUCAUGUUAAUUAUAUGUUUUAAGUAACUUUACAUUGGUGAUUGACUAUUCUAAGGAUCGACCAGUCAUCAUUUCACCAAACAAAAGAUGAUGUAGUGCUUUUUUUGUUUGGUUAAAUUUGACAAAGUCGUUGUAUUAUAGUUGGAUGUGGUCCAGCUCCAUUAAUCAUGCUCUCAGUAUCUAGUCUCCAAAAGGCAGGGGAGGCCUGGUCAUGGUGAGGCAUCUAUAGGCAGUCCACGGGUGGAGCUACCCGCCUGCUUCAGCUUGAAUCUUACUCAGAUAUCCAAGUACUUUCAAAACCACUAGAAGGCUGAUAAUGAUGCUUCGAGCUAGUUAGUUUAUCUGGGAACAUGGCCGCCUAGUAGCUUGGUGCAGGGUGAAGUUUUUAUCUUGUGGCAUUACUAACAUGUUGCAGAGUUGUGGACAACAGGAACAACGGUGAAAUGAUCUUUAUUGCCUACAGCAUGAAGGACUAUAUUGGUGCCAAUCCAGACACAACUAGAUUGGUGUCAACCAAAGCAUGAGCCUCUUAAGAGUCCUCAAAAAGAGUCAGGGUUAUAUGAGAUCACUGCGAUGCUCUUGCAGAGAACAGUAGAGACAUCUGACGCAGAACGGAAGGUUUCACGGAUGCUCUUCCUGUGUAAGGGAUAUUUUAUAUAAUAUUUUAUAAGAACAUCAAAGAAAAGGGGGAAAGUUCUCAAAACUCAGUCAAUCCUUAUGAAACUGUUUAGUGCAUAAUAAUUGCUUGGAGUGAAGACCAUCUGCCUUGGGUGCAA